GACAGAGGCCACGAACGUUGUUCGGAAUUACUGGGCCUAAAGCGCACGUAGGCGGCUAGGUCCGUCCGAUGUGAAAGCCCCCGGCUCAACCGGGGAAUUGCAUCGGAUACAGCCUGGCUCGAGGACGGUUGGGGUGAGUGGAACUCCUGGUGAAGCGGUGAAAUGCGUAGAUAUCAGGAGGAACACCGGUGGCGAAAGCGGCUCACUUGACCGUUACUGACGCUGAGGUGCGAAAGCUAGGGGAGCAAACGGG
rnacentral:rRNA from 1 species